rnacentral:rRNA from 2 species
AGUCUGACGGAGCAACGCCGCGUGAGUGAUGAAGGUUUUCGGAUCGUAAAGCUCUGUUGUUAGGGAAGAACAAGUGCGAGAGUAACUGCUCGCACCUUGACGGUACCUAACCAGAAAGCCACGGCUAACUACGUGCCAGCAGCCGCGGUAAUACGUAGGUGGCAAGCGUUGUCCGGAAUUAUUGGGCGUAAAGGGCUCGCAGGCGGUUUCUUAAGUCUGAUGUGAAAGCCCCCGGCUCAACCGGGGAGGGUCAUUGGAAACUGGGAAACUUGAGUGCAGAAGAGGAGAGUGGAAUUCCACGUGUAGCGGUGAAAUGCGUAGAGAUGUGGAGGAACACCAGUGGCGAAGGCGACUCUCUGGUCUGUAACUGACGCUG